UUUUAGGGUUUGCAAAGCACCUCCUUCCAGUGAUAACUCGAUAUCCGAGCAGAGCCGCCGUCGACGCGUCGUCGUCAUCGUCAGGUAAGGGAAAAUGGUAAAGUUCUUGAAACCAGGGAAGGCGGUGAUCGUCCUCCAGGGGCGGUUCGCCGGGCGGAAGGCGGUGAUCGUGCGGUGCUUCGACGAGGGCACCCGCGACCGCCCCUAUGGCCACUGCCUCGUUGCCGGCAUCCUCAAGUACCCCAAGAAGGUCAUCCGCAAGGAUUCGGCCAAGAAGACGGCCAAGAAGUCCCGCGUCAAGGCCUUCUUGAAGAUGGUGAACUACAGCCACAUCAUGCCCACCCGCUAUACCCUGGAUGUGGAUCUCAAGGACGUCGUCACCCUUGACGUUCUCCAGUCCCGGGACAAGAAGGUGGCCGCCUGCAAGGAGACCAAGGCCCGCUUCGAGGAGCGCUUCAAGACCGGCAAGAACCGGUGGUUCUUCACUAAGCUCCGCUUCUAGAUAAAGAAUUACCAACAAGAGUGUUUAUAUGACAGCGAUAAUCUCAUCAUCAUGAAACUAUCUGGUUAAAUCUCAUUAAAUUGAUGAGUGUACAGGGGCAUCCAGCAAAGCUUUUGUUGAAAACAAAGAAUUAGUGGCUAGUUGAGUCCAUGAUGCAGCUUGAUUGUGGAUGGGGAACAGAGAAGUGUGAAUAACCUACCUAAUAAGCAGAAAUCCAAUCAUCAUUGGGCAAGAAAAGUGAGGGAGGGUGAUAUCUCAACAUGUCAAGGCAUCAAGUAGCUAGUUGAGUAGAUGACGUAGCUCAGUUAUUGACAGAAGAAUAAAGAAGUCUUAAUCACCUAUCUGGCAAGUGAAAAUGCAGUCAUCCGGUGGAUGAGGAAAAGGGUGGAGAGAGGUAUGGUCAUUAUCUAAUUGUAGAUAAAGUUUUCAGAAGAGGGAAGAGAGGUAGAGUCACAAUGGGAAUGUUGCAAAUUAUUGUACAAAUUCGUUGUUUACUGUUAGUGAGAAUUCACCUACAUUUCGCAAAUUGAAAUGUGAGGUCAAAAUGCAGAACAGAUAUACUACAACAUCACCGUCUUAGCUGAAACUGUAUCUUGUUGAGCUUUUAUUCCACAGCUAUUAGCCUUGGAAAUAUUGAUCUUA